UGACUUCAGGCUAUAGUAGAGAUUGUUCUGAAUCAUACCUCAGAUGCCCUUGAACUGUUGUCUAGACAGCAUUCUCAAAUGUGGGCUUUUGUAUAUCAAAAUUAAAUAAGCCUGGAUUAUUUGUUAGCUGAAGAAGGGGGUGUUUGUGGACAAUUUAAUGAAUCAGAGUGCUGUAUAGAAAUUGACAAUUACAGGGAGACCAUCUGAAGUCUGGCAGCAGAAAUUAAAAGGGUAGCACAUGGACCAGUUCAGAAAUGAAAUUCCAUCCUCCAAGCAUCCUGGUGGGAUCAUUUAUUUGAGGGAGUUUGGUGGAAGAAAAUAGUAUUCUUUAUACUAUGUUCAAUAGCUGGGGUUAUAUUCCUAGCCUGCUUAAUACUAUGUUUUAUUAGAUUAAUACACUCAGUUGUACAAGGCAUACAGAUAGCAGCUAUGCCCAUGGACUCAGAAUGUGCUACCGGAAAAAUAAGCCCGGUAUCUAAAAUAAUGAAAUUAGAAGAAAAAGACAAAGACAAAAGCAGCAGAGGCCCUGGCCAAGUUUGAAAAACAAGUGAAAGAAAACAGGGCUGUCUAUAGAGUAUAUCGAGAAAUAUCCCAUGAAGAAUAGGAAAGAGACAGAGAAUUUGAAGAAGAUUAAGAGGUCGCUAUAUUUCCUAAGAACACCAAAUAGUUAACACAUGUAGAUAUUAAAGUAGUUACAUGGGCUAAGGGAAAUUCACAAAUAAUUAAAGGUUCUAAGAAUUAUAGCACGAAUUAAUAUGUUUACGUAGAAGGGGAGGGAUUGUAAUGUGUAAUUUAGAUAACUCAUGCUUAUGUAGAAUAUAAGCACAAAAUAUCCAUUAUGUAAGUUAUAAUGUUUGAAAGAAAUAUUCUAAUGAGUUACAAAUCUACACGUGGGAGCCGAGGGAUUACCUCAUACCGAGAGACUGCUGCAUGCCAUUGUGACACCACAGAGGGCAGCAAGGAGAAGCCUGAUUGACAAUUGAAAGAGCCUGGCUCUGGAGGAGAUGAGUCCUUACUCAAGAACCACCUGGGUGAUGAAUACUUGACAAGUACCGAGAUCAAGACAGCAAGAGUCACUCGGGGUGUGGAUGGAUGGCAUUUGUCAGCUGUGCUGAGAAGGAGUCAGUGCUGUGAGGAGCUGCCCAUGAGAAAUCACCAAGAAGAGAUACUGCAACUUUGUAAUCAAAAGAAAAGAGGGAAUUGUGGAUAGAUGGAGUUUGUUGGCUGUGCUGAGAAGAAAGUCAGUGCUGUGAGGAACUGCCCAUGAGAAAUCACCCAAGAAGGUGCGAAACCUUUGCAAUAAGAUGGCAGCAUCGGGGAACUUCCAUCCCAAAAUCAGCACUCAUCAUUUGCCGGGAACUACAUUGUCCAGCACAACACAGAGAAAGGAGACAACAUGAAUAUGUUUAACCAUGAAAAGAACAAGAGACACUCAGCCUCGGGAUAAUUAAAGUGUAUAAAAACUGCCCAGACACACACACUUUCGUGAACAGAGGGGGUUCCGAUGCGAUAGAGGUCAGACCAGUGUUCACCCAGCUCCGAAUCUGGGCUCGACGCUGUCCCUUUUGAUUGUGGCUAUUGGAGACCAUAUCUCAGCCGUGAAAUAAAAUUUAUCUUUAUUAAUUAUUAA